CCGCCGCUUGAGGGAUGCUGCGCUUCCGUCCAUCGCCUCGGGGUGCGAUUUCCGGCGAGACUGCCGUGUCUGGAUUUCAUUCGCCACCGUUGGCAGAUUCCGAGAAUCGGCGAAGUCGCCACAGCUCUGGUUCAGUGCGUCGUCAUUCCCGAUUUAGAGCUGGCAGUAGUCUCCCCCCUCCAACCUAAAGCUAAGUUUUAAACUUGCUUCUUCUUCUUUUCAUUGCAAUGAAGUAUCGAUACACAUAGAGGCUUAUUCGAGCAAGAGAAGUCAGAGCUUAAUUGUUCUAAAAGUGAGCAUGUUGUGGUUGUAUUUGUUCGUCUAUCAGUAAUAGUGGUGAGUUAAAGUGUUCCCCAUAUUCUGUGUCUGUGGAGUCUAUUGUUGUUCAUCGAAUACAUGAAUCAGAUGUAACAUAUCUCUAUAUCCCUAGAGUAAAGGCAGUGUAGUCUGCUGUUGCUACAUAAACUUAUGUGAAUAACUAAUCAUGCUCAUCUCCGAUUAGCAGCAUUCAUUAAAAAAAUCAUGCUAUGAUGAUGCGUGAAGCAUGUACAUGGAGAUAGUGAACUGGGAUAACGUAUAAUACCUUGAGGAUAUGGAUGUGGUGGCUGUUUGCUGCUGUGUUGAAUUAAAUGCAGGGGAUGGAAAUUGAAAUAGAGUAAUCUUGGUAACUACCUUAAUGAAUGAAGGUGAAAUUGUGGCAGGGAGUAUUAAAGUUCAAGGUGAAGCUUACCUCGAAAUAGCUUGGUGUUGGUUAUAUUAUCUGCUGCUGUAGUUGACUGAUCUUAAUUGGGGGUAACUGAAACAUAACAGUGGUUAUUCUUGCAUUAAUGCAGGUGAAAUCUUGGAGGAGUUGAAGAGAGUUAAAGAAGUUUACCUCAUUGGCAGAGAUGGAUGAAUGAUUUCCUCUCUUCUUCACGUGAGCUGUUAGAGUAUAAUGGAGAAGGAGUGUUAGGAGGUUGUUUGCUGAAAUGAUAGGUAAAAAGGGUUGAAGGCUGGCUGGAGCUUGAGUACCUACUAAAUGGUAGGGUGGCUGAUGUGAGUCCUAUGUGUACCUUGGGUAUGGCUGUUGUGGCAGAGGUGGAGUGCUUACUGCUGUUGCAGUUGCUGCAGAAAAUGGGGAGGGGACGCAACUGAUCUUAUUCUCCCCUCUCCCUUUAUUACUCCUUCCGUCCACCAAAAAAACUCCCAGUUGGAGUUCGGCAUGGAGACUAAAAUAGCUGAAAAAGGUGGUGUAAAAGACUAAAAGGAUAGUGUUUAUGUAUUGUGAUUACUUUUACUAAUCUUCCACUAACUAUUUGAUAAUAAUAAUAAUAAUAACAACAAUAAUAAUAAUAAUAACAAUAACAAUAACAAUAAUAAUAAUAAGGAUAAUAAUAAUAAUAAUAAUAACAAUAAUAAUAACAAUAACAAUAACAAUAAUAAGAAUAAGAAUAAUAAUAAUAACAAUAAUAAUAAUAAUAAUAACAACAAUAAUAAUAAUAAUAAUAAUAAUAAUAAUAAUAAUAAUAAUAACAACAACAAAAACAACAACAAUAAUAAUAAUCAUAAUAAUAAUAACAAUAACAAUAUUAUAAUAAUAAUAAUAAUAAUAAUAAUAAUAAUAACAACAAUAAUAAGAAUAAUAAGAAUAAGAAUAACAAUAAUAAGGAUAAUAAUAAGGAUAACGAUAAUAAUAAUAAUAAUAAUAACAAUAAUAAUAAUAAUAACAAUAACAAUAAUAAUAAUAAUAAUAAUAGUCGUAAAAAUAAUAAUAAUAAUAAUAAUAAUAAUAAUAAUAAUAAUAACAACAACAAUAACAAUAACAAUAAGGAUAAUAACAAUAAUUAAUUAAAUGAGAUUUUAUUAAAAAAGAGAAGAAAAAACAGACCUAAAACCCUUGAGAACACAGAGGAGUUAACUAAGGGCCGAGCCUCAUUAAAACCCUUUUAAGGCAAACCCAAACGGGAAAAUCCUUAAAAGGGAAAAAGAGUGCUCGUCUAGAAAAGACUGCGAGGGAGCGGAGAAGAGACAGCUUCAGAAGUUCCGGCCUAACCAUCACCCCUAAGCCGCUCGGCUCCCAAACGCAGCGAAAGCAAACAAACAAAAACGAAAAAAACAACAAAAAAACCCAGCAAAAGAGACAGAAAAAACCACACCGUUCCUCCAAACGAAAAAAACCAACGAAGCCCAAGAGAACUGGCCUAUCAAAACACGAAAACAGAGGGCCACCCAAACCCAGCAGAACAAUCCAGCCGUUCUUCAAGCAAAACGAACUCGGACGCAGAGUACGGCGACCCCGGCCGCGAACACCUGCUCUCAUGCCCAUUCUAGAACGCUCCUUGCAACAAGGAAGUCCAACGACAAACCUAGGAGAAAGAAAGUGAUAGAACACCAAGACUACCGUUCAUCAACGACCCAAACAACGGAGCCAUAAAAACUCGACGCCGACGCAACAACAACAACGCCGCGGAGCUUCCCAGACGAACCAAAACUCACAGCCCCAGUUCCGAGCUCACCCGGAAGCUGAAAAAAGGCCCUGAUCUUGGUCCCUAACCAACACCAACGACAAUCCAGCAAAAAACCCGCACAAAGAAACCAAUAAGUAAUAGGAACCCAAAGCGCCGACCAGAUGUUUGUGAAAAAUCCAAGCUUGUCAAAACAUAAAAGAUGCGGUCCCUCCAAGCAAAGACGCCAUCCCAGGAGGGAAUCAGCAUGAUUAUCAAAAGAAAAGGGUGAUAGAACACCAUGGCUCCCGUUCAUCAACGACCCGAACAACAGGACCAAAAACUCAACGCCGACGCAUCUGCUAGCAACGUCGCGGAGCUUCCAAAACGAACCAAAACUCAUAGCCCCAGCUCCGAGCUCACCCGGAAACUGAAAAAAGGCUAAGAGAUUAGUCCCUAAACCCCCGCCCCUGUCAAACCAUCUCAUACCCGCACAGAACUCCCAUCUUCUAUCAAACAACCAGAACGCAUACCAGGUGUUUGUGAAAGAGUCCAGGCAGCCAACGAGCAAGUAUAGCUUCUGCCACAUCCAAAGCCCAAUCAUCCGCGAAUGCGUAUAUGGCUGUGAGUGGCCAUGUCCGUCCUGACCGCUUUUUUGAUGGCCUCGACCUCGUGCGGCCACCACCCCUCCAUCAUGUUUUGAUUGGCCAUAAUGUCCGCAGGUUUGUUGCCUUCACGAUAGAUAUGCGUAACUUGAAGAUUAAAAUUUUGUAACAGACCAAGAGUAUACUUCCAAGAAGCAAAAAAACGCCAAGGCACGUUAGAAGAUCGAGAAUUCAAAACUUAUGUGAAUAACUAAUCAUGCUCAUCUCCGAUUAGCAGCAUUCAUUAAAAAAAUCAUGCUAUGAUGAUGCGUGAAGCAUGUACAUGGAGAUAGUGAACUGGGAUAACGUAUAAUACCUUGAGGAUAUGGAUGUGGUGGCUGUUUGCUGCUGUGUUGAAUUAAAUGCAGGGGAUGGAAAUUGAAAUAGAGUAAUCUUGGUAACUACCUUAAUGAAUGAAGGUGAAAUUGUGGCAGGGAGUAUUAAAGUUCAAGGUGAAGCUUACCUCGAAAUAGCUUGGUGUUGGUUAUAUUAUCUGCUGCUGUAGUUGACUGAUCUUAAUUGGGGGUAACUGAAACAUAACAGUGGUUAUUCUUGCAUUAAUGCAGGUGAAAUCUUGGAGGAGUUGAAGAGAGUUAAAGAAGUUUACCUCAUUGGCAGAGAUGGAUGAAUGAUUUCCUCUCUUCUUCACGUGAGCUGUUAGAGUAUAAUGGAGAAGGAGUGUUAGGAGGUUGUUUGCUGAAAUGAUAGGUAAAAAGGGUUGAAGGCUGGCUGGAGCUUGAGUACCUACUAAAUGGUAGGGUGGCUGAUGUCGAGUCCCUAUGUGUACCUUGGGGUAUGGCUGUUGUGGCAGAG
rnacentral:lncRNA from 1 species